rnacentral:misc_RNA from 1 species
GAUGAAGAACGCAGCGAAAUGCGAUAAGUAAUGUGAAUUGCAGAAUUCAGUGAAUCAUCGAAUCUUUGAACGCACCUUGCACCCUUUGGCUAUUCCGAAGGGUAUGCCUGUUUGAGCAUCAUGAACACCUCAACUCUCAUGGUUUGCCAUGAUGAGCUUGGACUUUGGGGGUCUUGCUGGCCUGUGGUCAGCUCCUCUCAAAUGGAUUAGCUUGCCAGUGUUUGGUGGCAUCACAGGUGUGAUAACUAUCUACGCUUGUGGUUUUCCACCAGGUAACCUUCAGCAAUGGGGGUUCGCUGGGGCUCAUAAAUGUCUCUCCUCAGUGAGGACAGCUCUUUGAACGUUUGAUCUCAAAUCAGGUAGGACUACCCGCUGAACUUAAGCAUAUCAAUAAGCGGAGGA